GACGAACGCUGGCGGCGUGCUUAACACAUGCAAGUCGAACGCGCUUUACUCUUUCGGGAAUAAAGUGAGUGGCGAACGGGUGAGUAACACGUGAGCAACCUGCCCUUGACUCUGGAAUAACAGCUGGAAACAGCUGCUAAUACCGGAUACGACCUUCGAUGGCAUCAUCUGGAGGUGGAAAGCUCCGACGGUCAAGGAUGGGCGUCGCGGCCUAUCAGCNGUUGGUGAGGUAACGGCUCACCAAGGCUUCGACGGGUAGCCGGCCUGAGAGGGCGACCGGCCACACUGGGACUGAGAUACGGCCCAGACGUCCUACGGGAGGCAGCAGUGGGGAAUAUUGCACAAUGGGCGAAAGCCUGAUGCAGCAACGCCGCGUGCGGGAUGACGGG
rnacentral:rRNA from 1 species